GAUGAACGCUAGCGACAGGCUUAACACAUGCAAGUCGAGGGGCAGCGGGGUGUGGCAACACAUUGCCGGCGACCGGCGCACGGGUGAGUAACGCGUAUGCAACUUGCCUAUCAGAGGGGGAUAACCCGGCGAAAGUCGGACUAAUACCGCAUAAAACAGGGGUUCCGCAUGGGGAUAUUUGUUAAAGAUUCAUCGCUGAUAGAUAGGCAUGCGUUCCAUUAGGCAGUUGGCGGGGUAACGGCCCACCAAACCGACGAUGGAUAGGGGUUCUGAAAGGGAGGUCCCCCACAUUGGUACUGAGACACGGACCAAACUCCUACGGGAGGCAGCAGUGAGGAAUAUUGGUCAAUGGCCGGGAGGCUGAACCAGCCAAGUCGCGUGGAGGACGAAGGUCCUAUGGAUUGUAAACUUCUUUUGUGCGGGAAUAAAGUCGGGGACGCGUCCCCGUUUGCAUGUACCGCACGAAUAAGCAUCGGCUAACUCCGUGCCAGCCGCCGCGGUAA
rnacentral:rRNA from 1 species